UACGAAGGGUGCAAACGUUGCUCGGAAUUAUUGGGCGUAAAGCGCACGUAGGCGGUCUGUCGCGUCGGAUGUGAAAACCCAGGGCUCAACCCUGGGCCUGCAUUCGAUACGGGCAGACUAGAGUACGGCAGGGGAGACUGGAAUUCCUGGUGUAGCGGUGAAAUGCGCAGAUAUCAGGAGGAACACCGGUGGCGAAGGCGGGUCUCUGGGCCGUAACUGACGCUGAGGAGCGAAAGCGUGGGGAGCGAACAGG
rnacentral:rRNA from 1 species